CAGAGCCUGUAAAAGACAAACAGCUGUUGGAGUCAGACAGGAAAGCCGCUGAAAGAAAAAAGGGUGAGGGAGGAGGAAAAGAAGUUUGAUCAUGGCUGGGUAAAAGGCCAGAGAAAGAGCUUUGUAUCAGAAGAUCAGAAUCUGAGUUUAACGUUGUAAUAUCUCUCAGUAGGAGACAGAAGUCAGCAGCACUGUUCCUGGUGCUACAGGGUUAUUGCAAAGGAAAGAGACAUGAUGUAAGUGACCACUGGAGAUGGCUGGAGAGAGUUAAUGAAUGUUCUGAAGUGGAGGAUCAAGAUUAAGACAUUUUGGGAGACAUUGUCCUGCUUGGUCACUAAGAACUUGCAGCUGAUUUGAAGACUCUGGACUUUCCCAGAAGACACACUGGUCUACAGGGCAGCUACAGCUUUUGAUCUUACUCUCUUCAAAAAGGCUACUCUUCAGCAACACCAACACUAAGGUCAGUUUCAGACUGCAGAGAACCUGAUUGGAGGUUCCUUAGGAAGCAGCAAUUUGGGUAAUUUCAGAAAAUGCUUUUUCCAUACUUACAGAUGCAGCAUAACUUUACACAGGCCACAGUAAAACUGAAAGUGGGUUGUCUGACUGUCCAGUUUCUGCAGUGUUACUUGUGAGCCCCAGGUGCAGCUGAUUUCAUUUUAAUAAGCUAGAGCAUCUGGAAAGAGUUCUAUACUACAGCUAAAUCUGAAAACUGACAGAGAAGGAAUUAUUUCAGAAGAUAAGGCUGCACUCCAAAGACAGGCCUCCUCCUUUGCUAAAAGCUCUCUUUGUGUGCUCAAAUUGAAGAAUGAGAAUGUACAAGAUGGAAGAUCAGCAUGGAGGACAUCUUUUGCAGCGCUGAAUCAGAGGUGGGAGAUGUACUCUACCCGAGAAAAGUUUCUCUCAUGGAGGACAGAAGUGUUGGUGAAUGUAGGGUGUGUUUGAGAUUUUAAAGGGGAGAUGGGCUAUCUGUUGCUGUGUGUAAAACUGGAGGAAGAAAAUAUGUCCCAGCUCAGACUAUGCUCAAUAGAGGGAGAGACCAGUUCCCAGUUCCCAGCUAGGUCCAGCCUAUUAUUUCCAUUUAUUAAUUAGGUGAAUAAUAUCCUAUUAUUAGGUCCAGCAGAAUUAUUUAGGCUGGCACCCAGUGCAGGAUAUUAGAGAGCAGUUAAAUCCUCUCAGAGAGCUUCGGUAAAAGGCAAUCUAUAAAAACAAAUCUUACAUUUGGUCAUCAUUAAUACGCUGGAAAAUAAAUGAAGGUAUAACUAUGCUCUGCAAUUUUUAUUUCAUUUAUGAAGACUGUGCCACAUGGCAUACAUGCUCUGUCUGUGCUGUUAAGCACAUGAUGUGAGAAAUGGUGGUGUGAGGACUUAGAAUGGAAGAAGAAAGACAUAGUCCAUGCUGAAGCAAAGCAGAAAAUAUUUUAGCUUUAUUUUAUGAAUUCAUAGAUUUCUUAGAGGUCUGCAUGGAGCUUUCAUAGAGGUUGAUUUAGAGAUCAGGCCUAGUGACAAGUCCCAGGUUAAUUCUGUAGCAGCUGCCAAAUCCCUCAGUAAGGCACACUGUACAACAAUGGCUACUCUAGUCUCUAAAGAAAUAUUUUAGUAAUGUUUCUGGAGUGGCUAGUGUAGUGUACAGUGAAAAUGCCUGUGCCCCUGCCAGUAUGGAGCCAAACAAGACUUACCUAAGCCUGGGUUACCCUAGAACUGAUCUUCUUACCAAACUCCCAAAUAAAAUGCAAAAUAUUACAAAUUCCUCUUUCCUUACUUUUUAAAAAUUCAAUGAAAUUUUUAGAAGAGAGGGGAAAAUUAUAAGUGAAGGGAAAAUGUUGCAUGAUUCCUUAGCUAGACACCUGGAAAUCAGUCAGCCCUUGAGACAAUCUUGGAAUAGAUAUGUGAUUCCUUGAUCUUCUUUAUCAACAAG
ensembl:lncRNA